AUGGCCACCAGUCUUACCCUGCAACUACUACUGAAUGUGGACGCCUCUUUCAUCGAGGGCUCCCACUCCGGGUCAUGCGAAGCAAUUGUUAGAGAUCACAGAGGUUACUUCAUUACUGGUUCUACCUCACAAAUUGAACAUGUAGCAGAUGUUGUGUCUGCAGAAGCUGCGGCACUUCAUGAAGGAUUGAGGCUACUCCAAACCCUGGGAUGCAACAACGUAUAA
rnacentral:rRNA from 1 species